UACGGAGGGUGCGAGCGUUGUUCGGAAUCACUGGGCGUAAAGCGCGUGUAGGCGGCCCACUAAGUCUGAUGUGAAAGCCCGGGGCUCACCCCCGGAAGUGCAUUGGAAACUGGUGGACUCGAGUCCCGGAGAGGAGAGUGGAAUUCCUGGUGUAGCGGUGAAAUGCGUAGAUAUCAGGAGGAACACCAGUGGCGAAGGCGGCUUUCUGGACGGUAACUGACGCUGAGACGCGAAAGCGUGGGGAGCAAACAGG
rnacentral:rRNA from 1 species